CCUACGGGCGGCUGCAGUGAGGAAUAUUGGUCAAUGGCCGCAGGGCUGAACCAGCCAAGUCGCGUGAGGGAUGACGGUCCUAUGGAUUGUAAACCUCUUUUGUCAGGGAGCAAAGGGCGCCACGUGUGGCGCUUUGCGAGUACCUGAAGAAAAAGCAUCGGCUAACUCCGUGCCAGCAGCCGCGGUAAUACGGAGGAUGCGAGCGUUAUCCGGAUUUAUUGGGUUUAAAGGGUGCGCAGGCGGAAUGUCAAGUCAGCGGUAAAAUUUCGGGGCUCAACCCCGUCGUGACGUUGAAACUGGCGUUCUUGAGUGAGCGAGAAGUAUGCGGAAUGCGUGGUGUAGCGGUGAAAUGCAUAGAUAUCACGCAGAACUCCGAUUGCGAAGGCAGCAUACCGGCGCUCAACUGACGCUCAUGCACGAAAGCGUGGGUAUCGAACAGGAUUAGAUACCCUGGUAGUC
rnacentral:rRNA from 1 species